rnacentral:rRNA from 1 species
UACAGAGGGGGCAAGCGUUGUUCGGAAUUACUGGGCGUAAAGGGCGCGUAGGCGGCCUGCUAAGUCGAACGUGAAAUCCCUGGGCUCAACCCAGGAACUGCGUCCGAUACUGGUUGGCUUGAAUCCGGGAGAGGGAUGUGGAAUUCCAGGUGUAGCGGUGAAAUGCGUAGAUAUCUGGAGGAACACCAAUGGCGAAGGCAGCACUCUGGGACGGUACUGACGCUGAGACGCGAAAGCGUGGGGAGCAAACAGG